rnacentral:rRNA from 1 species
CCUACGGGUGGCAGCAGUGGGGAAUAUUGCACAAUGGGGGAAACCCUGAUGCAGCAACGCCGCGUGAGUGAUGACGGCCUUCGGGUUGUAAAGCUCUGUCUUCAGGGACGAUAAUGACGGUACCUGAGGAAGAAGCCACGGCUAACUACGUGCCAGCAGCCGCGGUAAUACGUAGGUGGCGAGCGUUGUCCGGAUUUACUGGGCGUAAAGGGAGCGUAGGCGGUUUUGUAAGUGAGGUGGGAAAUACGCGGGCUCAAACUGAGUGCUGCAUUUGAAACUGGAAGUCUAGAGUGCAGGAGAGGAGAGUGGAAUUCCUGGUGUAGCGGUGAAAUGCGUAGAGAUUAGGAAGAACACCAGUGGCGAAGGCGGUUCACUGGACUGUAACUGACGCUGAGGCUCGAAAGCGUGGGGAGCAAACAGGAUUAGAUACCCUGGUAGUC